AGCCCCUACGUACUACGUCAUGACGCUAAGUACGUAGGGCAAAUCUCCGCAAGACCACACUCCUGCGCAGAGACGGCCGGAUCACGUGAAGCCUCCGUGGCGGCCCAACCCCGGCAGAGGGUGCUGGCGCUUCCUGCUGGACGGAGGGAGUUUCUGCAAUCAGAGUUAUCUUUUCAGGACAAAGCUUGGACCUGAGACCUUUCCAAGAAGUCUUGAAUUGACCACGUUUACAAGAAACAGAAAGUCUCCGGUGUGCCAGCAUGGAUCCAAGGUGCUAUCUUUUCUUGAGUACAUUUUCUCAUUUCCCUCCACUCCCCUCCCCUCCCCCCCCUCCCUCCUUCUCCCCUCCCCUCCUCUGCCCUCCCUCCCUUCCUUCCUUCCUUGCCUGCCUGCCUUUUCUUCCUUCCUUCCUUCCUUCUUUUUUUUUUUUUUUUCAGAUGGAGUCUCACUCUGUUGUCCAGGUGGCGUGAUCUCGGCUUACUGCAACCUUCACCUCCCAGGUUCGAGCGAUUCUCCUGCCUCACCUCCCGAGUAGUUGGGAUUACACAAAGGCGCCACCACGCCCAGCUAAUUUUUGUAUUUUUGGUUGAGAUGGGGUUUCGCCAUGUUGGCCAGGCUGGUCUCAAACUCCUGACCGCAUGUGAUUCGCCUGCCUCAGCCUCCCAAAGUGCUGGGAUUACAGGUGUGAGCCACUGUGCCUGGCCCCCUUGAGUGCAUUUUCUGUGUAGCCAAACCUACUCAGGAAACCAAGGCAUUAUCGGAAGAUUGCUUGAUGAGCACAUAUUCUGAACAAGUGGAGUUAUAUGUAUAGAUUUUCUUGAGUCAUCUAUCUUCACAACAGGACAAUUUUGUCGCAAAGAUAGAAGUUCUCAAUUUCCAAUGGCUGCAGUUUUCCGCAUUGAUCUCCAGUAUAGUGGGGACAUCCUGCUGAGCUGUUUAUUUGUGCUCCUUGUCUCCUUAGCAGCACUUGGAGGGCCACUGGCCCUAAAGUGCACCCUGUACGUUACUUUCUCUGUUUCCAUGGCUACCCAAACCUCUUUGCAAUAUUAUUUCAAUAAAAAUCAAGUUACAGUUAAAUCAAA